rnacentral:rRNA from 1 species
CUUGGUCAUUUAGAGGAAGUAAAAGUCGUAACAAGGUUUCCGUAGGUGAACCUGCGGAAGGAUCAUUAUUGAAUUUUUUUUUUGAAUGGGUUUGUUGCUGGUCAAGUAAGACAUGUGCACGCCUUGUUCUAAUAAAUGUUUUUAUAACACACACUUUAAAAUUUAUUUGAAUGUCUUUGUUACCAGCCCUUGUUGCUGGGAUAAUACAACUUUCAACAACGGAUCUCUAGGCUCUCGCAUCGAUGAAGAACGCAGCGAAACGCGAUAAGUAAUGUGAAUUGCAGAAUCUAGUGAACCAUCGAAUCUUUGAACGCACCUUGCGCUCCUUGGUAUUCCGAGGAGCAUGCCUGUUUGAGUGUCAUUAAAUUGUCAAGUCCUUUUUAUUUAGAAAAAAUGGCUUGGAUUUUUUUUUGGAGUGUUUGCUGGCUUUUUAACAAAGUUGGCUUCUCUUAAAUGUAUUAUAUAACCUUUUGUGGAUAGAAAAGGGCUUUGGUUUUGAUAACUAAAUAAUCUUAUGUCAUUGCCCUUUUUUUUAUGAAGCAAAUGCCACUUUGAUAUUUGACCUCAAAUCAGGUAGGACUACCCGCUGAACUUAAGCAUAUCAAUAAGCGGAGGAAAAGAAACUAACAAGGAUUCCCUUAGUAACUGCGAGUGAAGUGGGAAAAGCUCAAAUUUAAAAUCUGGCAGUCUUGAUAUUGUCCGAGUUGUAAUCUAGAGAAGUGUUUUCCGUGCCGGACCGUGUACAAGUCUCUUGGAACAGAGCGUCAUAGAGGGUGAGAAUCCCGUCUUUGAUACGGACUUCCAGUGCUUUAUGUGAUGCGCUCUCAAAGAGUCGAGUUGUUUGGGAAUGCAGCUCAAAAUGGGUGGUAAAUUCCAUCUAAAGCUAAAUAUAGGCGAGAGACCGAUAGUGAACAAGUACCGUGAGGGAAAGAUGAAAAGAACUUUGGAAAGAGAGUUAAACAGUACGUGAAAUUGUUGAAAGGGAAACGCUUGAAGUCAGUCGCGUCGACUAGAAGUCAACCUUCGGGGUGUAUUUUCUGGUUUGACGGGUCAGCAUCAAUUUUGAUUGUUGGAUAAAAGCUGAUAUUUAUAUGUCCUUUGGAUGUAUAAGCCUUUUUGGUUGCAUACAACAAUUGGGAUUGAGGAACUCAGCAUGCCGCAAGGCUGGAUUUAUUUUUUUAAAUCACAUAACAUGCUUAGGAUGCUGGCAUAAUGGCUUUAAUCGACCCGUCUUGAAACACGGACC